CGGGGGAGCAAGCGUUGUUCGGAUUUACUGGGCGUAAAGGGCGCGUAGGCGGCGCGACAAGUCACUUGUGAAAUCUCCGGGCUUAACCCGGAGCGGCCAAGUGAUACUGUCGUGCUAGAGUGCGGAAGGGGCUACUGGAAUUCUCGGUGUAGCGGUGAAAUGCGUAGAUAUCGAGAGGAACACCUGCGGCGAAGGCGGGUAGCUGGGCCGACACUGACGCUGAGGCGCGAAAGCCAGGGGAGCGAACGGGAUUAGAUACCCCGGUAGUCCUGGCCUUAAACGAUGGAUGCUUGGUGUCCGAGGUUACAUAGUCCUCGGGUGCCGGCGCUAACGCAUUAAGCAUCCCGCCUGGGGAGUACGGUCGCAAGACUG
rnacentral:rRNA from 1 species